rnacentral:rRNA from 1 species
UACGUAGGGGGCAAGCGUUGUCCGGAUUUAUUGGGCGUAAAGAGCGUGUAGGCGGUUUGGUAGGUCCGUUGUGAAAACUCGAGGCUCAACCUCGAGACGCCGGCGGAAACCAUCAGGCUAGAGUCCGGAAGAGGAGAGUGGAAUUCCUGGUGUAGCGGUGAAAUGCGCAGAUAUCAGGAAGAACACCCGUGGCUAAGGCGGCUCUCUAGUACGGUACUGACGCUGAGACGCGAAAAGCGUGGGGGAGCAAACAGG